UAGGGAAUCUUCCACAAUGGGCGAAAGCCUGAUGGAGCAACGCCGCGUGAGUGAUGAAGGCCUUUGGGUUGUAAAACUCUGUCUUCUGUGACGAACAAGCCUGUGAGUAAAAUGCUCAGGCCCUGACGGUAACAGAGGAGGAAGCCACGGCUAACUACGUGCCAGCAGCCGCGGUAAUACGUAGGUGGCAAGCGUUGUCCGGAAUCACUGGGCGUAAAGCGCGCGCAGGCGGCGAUCUACGUCUGGGGUGAAAGCCCGGAGCUCAACUCCGGGACUGCCUUGGAUACGGGAUCGCUUGAGAAUUGGAGAGGCAAGGGGAAUUCCACGUGUAGCGGUGAAAUGCGUAGAUAUGUGGAGGAACACCUGUGGCGAAGGCGCCUUGCUGGCCAAUUUCUGACGCUGAGGCGCGAAAGCGUGGGGAGCAAACAGGAUUAGAUACCCUGGUAGUCCACGCCGUAAACGAUGAGUGCUAGGUGUUGGGGGGUACC
rnacentral:rRNA from 1 species